rnacentral:rRNA from 1 species
GGCGUUUUGUGGUGAAUCAUGAUAACUUGUCGGAUCGCAUGGCUUUACGCCGGCGAUGGUUCAUUCAAAUUUCUGCCCUAUCAGCUUUCGAUGGUAGGAUAGAGGCCUACCAUGGCGUUUACGGGUAACGGAGAAUUAGGGUUCGAUUCCGGAGAGGGAGCCUGAGAAAUGGCUACCACAUCCAAGGAAGGCAGCAGGCGCGUAAAUUGCCCGAAUCCAGACACAGGGAGGUAAUGACAAGAAAUAACAAUACAGGGCUACUUUUAGUCUUGUAAUUGGAAUGAGUACAAUUUACAUCUCUUCACGAGGAUCAAUUGGAGGGCAAGUCUGGUGCCAGCAGCCGCGGUAAUUCCAGCUCCAAUAGCGUAUAUUAAAGUUGUUACAGUUAAAAAGCUCGUAGUCGGAUUUCGGGGCGGGGCGACCGGUCUGCCGAUGGGUAUGCACUGGUCGGCGCGUCCUUCCUUCCGGAGACCGUGCCUACUCUUAACUGAGCGGGGGCGGGAG